AGUGAACGCUGGCGGUAGGCCUAACACAUGCAAGUCGAACGGCAGCACAGUAAGAGCUUGCUCUUACGGGUGGCGAGUGGCGGACGGGUGAGGAAUACAUCGGAAUCUACUUUUUCGUGGGGGAUAACGUAGGGAAACUUACGCUAAUACCGCAUACGACCUACAGGUGAAAGCAGGGGAUCUUCGGACCUUGCGCGAUUGAAUGAGCCGAUGUCGGAUUAGCUAGUUGGCGGGGUAAAGGCCCACCAAGGCGACGAUCCGUAGCUGGUCUGAGAGGAUGAUCAGCCACACUGGAGCUGAGACACGGUCCAGACUCCUACGGGAGGCAGCAGUGGGGAAUAUUGGACAAUGGGCGCAAGCCUGAUCCAGCCAUACCGCGUGGGUGAAGAAGGCCUUCGGGUUGUAAAGCCCUUUUGUUGGGAAAGAAAAGCAGCAGGUUAAUACCCCGCUGUUCUGACGGUACCCAAAGAAUAAGCACCGGCUAACUUCGUG
rnacentral:rRNA from 1 species